rnacentral:lncRNA from 1 species
GACAUGGUGAGUUUGCAUUUUACACAGCCUGUCUUGCCCACAGGUCACCUCCCCCACGGAGAAGAUCCUCUGUCUUCAUCAUCCCAAAUUGUUGCCCCAGUGUUUCUGCUUAGACAUAUUCAACCUCCCUCAGGCACCUUCUGAGAAACUAUAUCAUGAUGAGAAGGCUUUCUGACUUUAUCAGCUGCCAGCAGAAGGUGCUCCGACAUCGAGGGUGGCUUUCCCUGCUUCAGAUGACUGGUCAGACACACCUUGACAGGGACCGGAGAGAUGGCUGGGCAGCGAAGAGUACAAACCACACGUGCAAGGACUUGAGUUCUGUUCCCAGUGCUCACAUCUGAUGGCUCACAACCACCUAUAACUCUAGCUCCAGGGGAACCCAAGGCAUUUGGUCUCCCGAAGGCCUCUACACUGGUGGGCAAAAGCCCACAUUCGCAUUCAUAUAUACAUCAUUUAAAACACAGUAAAUCUUUAUUUUUAAAUGAAAAAUAAAAAUCACACCGCAGGAAUGCC